rnacentral:rRNA from 1 species
UAAGCAGGUAGUGAAAUCGUGUGGCUCAACCAUACUCACAUUAUCUGAACUGCAAAGCUAGAGGACGAGAGAGGUUAUUGGAAUUCCUUGUGUAGGAGUGAAAUCCGUAGAUAUAAGGAGGAACACCGAUGGCGUAGGCAGAUAACUGGCUCGUUCCUGACGCUCAGGCACGAAAGCGUGGGAGCAAACGGGAUUAGAUACCCCGGUAGUCCACGCCGUAAACGAUGGAUGCUA